AAGAGCCGCGGUAUUUUGACCGUGCAAAGGUAGCAUAAUCAUUAGGGGUUUAAUUGGAACCUGGUAUGAAGGGUUGAACAAAGGAAAAGCUGUCUUUAUAGUAAAAGUUGAAAUUUACUUUUAAGUGAAAAGGCUUAAAUAUGUCAAAGGGACGAUAAGACCCUAUAAAGCUUUAUAAGUUAUUUAAAUUUGAUUGAUUUAAAAAAUAAAAGUUAAAUUUAAUUAUUUUAUUUUGUUGGGGUGAUGUGAGUAUAAUUAUAAUUAACUGCUUAAAAAAAAUACUCUUAUAAGAGAUUUAAAUUAAUAUGAUCCUUUUUAGAGAUUUAAAACUAAGUUACUUUAGGGAUAACAGCGUUAUUUCUUUUGAGAGCCCAUAUCGAAAAAGAAGAUUGCGACCUCGAUGUUGAAUUAAAAUGUCUAUAUAAUGCAGCCAUUAUAAGAGAAGGUCUGUUCGACCUUUAAAUUUUU
rnacentral:rRNA from 1 species